GUCGUAACAAGGUAGCCGUACUGGAAGGUGUGGCUGGAUCACCUCCUU
rnacentral:rRNA from 1 species